CCUAACACUCCUACCACAAAUCAGUCAGAUACACCUGGUCAUGACAAUACACAAGUUGGCAUGAGGGACAUGCAUAAUAGACUUGUCAUUGAGCCUGAAGGCUACACUUUCAAUCCAGAUGAUGCUGUGGGGAUCAUUUCUCAGACAAUCAAAGAACUCUAUAGAGAUGCUUAUCCUACAUGGGGCAAGUUCCCUAGCAAUCUCAAGAGACAAAUAUUUUUGGAGUUCAGG